AGCUACAUCUUAUUAAUAAGCAUAAACUAAUUUUAUCUAAACAGUAAAGAUAUUUUCAACAUUAUGUCCCUUGAUAAUAACAAUGGUGGUGGUUCUCCCAUUGUAAAUCAGUGUGAGCAUUAAGGGUCACUGUAUCAGUCAGGAUGCCACCAUCAUUAGUUCUGAGGUUGAGACACCCUAGUCUACACCAUCCUUGUAGGAGUUCGGCCACAAAUUACAGUCUCGUUCCUCAAAAAACA
rnacentral:lncRNA from 1 species